rnacentral:tRNA from 1 species
GGGCGGAUAGCUCAGCUGGCCAGAGCGCUCGCCUUACACGCGAGUGGUCGCCGGUUCGAAUCCGGCUCCGCCCA